UACAGAGGGUGCAAGCGUUAAUCGGAGUUACUGGGCGUAAAGGGCGCGUAGGCGGUCAUGCAAGUGAGAUGUGAAAACCCCGGGCUUAACCUGGGAACUGCAUUUUAGACUGUGUGACUGGAGUACUGUAGAGGAUAGUGGAAUUUCCGGUGUAGCGGUGAAAUGCGUAGAGAUCGGAAGGAACACCAGUGGCGAAGGCGACUGUCUGGACAGAUACUGACGCUGAGGCGCGAAAGCGUGGGGAGCAAACAGG
rnacentral:rRNA from 1 species